rnacentral:rRNA from 1 species
AUGAAGCAAAAGAUGGUGAUCAGGGUGCAAAUGACGUGCGACAAAUGCCGAUCCAAGGCAAUGGGGUUGGUCGCCUCGGUACACGGAGUGGAGCGUGUGGAGAUACAAGGCGAUGACAGGGACCAGCUGGCGGUGGUCGGCGACGGGGUGGACGCCGCCAACCUCACGGCCUGCCUGCGGAAGAAGAUCGGGAACGCGGACCUCCUCACGGUGGAGGCGGUCGUCGCCGAGCCGAAGCCGAAGCCGGCAUCGGAGACCGGCGAGGCUUCGUGCCCGCAGCAGUGGUAUCCCGGAUACUACUCCUGGCCGGCAGGGACAUACUCCCACUGCUACCCGUACAGCAUGUAA